UACGUAGGGACCGAGCGUUGUCCGGAUUCAUUGGGCGUAAAGAGCUCGUAGGCGGCCACUCAAGUCGAAUGUGAAACCUCGAGGCUUAACCUCGAGCCUGCAUUCGAUACUGGGCGGCUAGAGUCUGGUAGGGGGAUCUGGAAUUCCUGGUGUAGCGGUGGAAUGCGUAGAUAUCUGGAGGAAUACCGGUGGCGAAGGCGGCAUCCUGGACCGGCAUUGACGCUGAGGAGCGAAAGCCAGGGGAGCAAACGGG
rnacentral:rRNA from 1 species